AACGAACGCUGGCGGCGUGCCUAACACAUGCAAGUCGAACGAGAUCCAUCGUGUGGCAACACACGUGAAGAUCUAGUGGCGAACGGGUGAGUAACACGUGAGGAACCUGCCCCGAAGACCGGGAUAACUCUUCGAAAGGAGAGCUAAUACCGGAUACCCCCAUCUGGCCGCAUGGCCGGAUGAGGAAAUGGAUUCCGCUUCGGGAGGGCCUCGCGGCCUAUCAGCUUGUUGGCGGGGUAACGGCCCACCAAGGCAUCGACGGGUAGCUGGUCUGAGAGGACGAUCAGCCACACUGGGACUGAGACACGGCCCAGACUCCUACGGGAGGCAGCAGUGGGGAAUCUUGCGCAAUGGGCGAAAGCCUGACGCAGCAACGCCGCGUGGGGGAUGAAGGCUUUCGGGUUGUAAACCCCUUUCAGCAGGGACGAAUCAAGACGGUACCUGCAGAAGAAGCCCCGGCUAACUACGUGCCAGCAGCCGCGGUAACAC
rnacentral:rRNA from 1 species